rnacentral:tmRNA from 1 species
GGGGAUGUUCCGGCAUUCGACAGGGUACGGAGAUCGUUGUAAGCAUACCAAAGCGCCUAUUUUGUAAAGAAGGCAAUCUAAAUUUAAUCGGCAAUAAUAAUUUUGCUAUUGCUGCCUAAUUGAUGGCAGUAUGCGGACUGCGGGAUUACCGACCGCAAAUCCGUAUCAUAUCAGGUAAAAGGUCCUCGGAGAGUUGACGGAGUAUCCGUCGGACCUAUACCCCGUCUGACCGAAUCGGAGUUCGUCUGCGGAAUCCGCUGAGGGACAUUUAAACGCUGACUAGUAUGAGAAAGCGACGCUUGAAAUGCUUUGGACAGGAGUUCAACUCUCCUCAUCUCCACCA